rnacentral:rRNA from 1 species
ACGCGGGGCAACCUGGCGACGAGUGGCGAACGGGUGAGUAAUAUAUCGGAACGUGCCCAGUAGUGGGGGAUAGCCCGGCGAAAGCCGGAUUAAUACCGCAUACGACCUACGGGUGAAAGCGGGGGAUCGCAAGACCUCGCGCUAUUGGAGCGGCCGAUAUCAGAUUAGGUAGUUGGUGGGGUAAAAGCCUACCAAGCCAACGAUCUGUAGCUGGUCUGAGAGGACGACCAGCCACACUGGGACUGAGACACGGCCCAGACUCCUACGGGAGGCAGCAGUGGGGAAUUUUGGACAAUGGGCGCAAGCCUGAUCCAGCCAUGCCGCGUGCGGGAAGAAGGCCUUCGGGUUGUAAACCGCUUUUGUCAGGGAAGAAAAGUUCUGGGCUAAUACCCUGGGACGAUGACGGUACCUGAAGAAUAAGCACCGGCUAACUACGUGCCAGCAGCCGCGGUAAUAAGGGCGAAUUCGCCCU